UACGAAGGGGGCUAGCGUUGCUCGGAAUCACUGGGCGUAAAGGGCGCGUAGGCGGCGUUUUAAGUCGGGGGUGAAAGCCUGUGGCUCAACCACAGAAUGGCCUUCGAUACUGGGGCGCUUGAGUAUGGUAGAGGUUGGUGGAACUGCGAGUGUAGAGGUGAAAUUCGUAGAUAUUCGGAAGAACACCAGUGGCGAAGGCGGCUCACUGGUCCGGUACUGACGCUGAGAUGCGAAAGUGUGGGGAGCAAACGGG
rnacentral:rRNA from 1 species